UUUCUGGCCCUUUUCAGGGCCCCAAAUAUUUUAAAUUCUAUUAAAG
rfam:Biomphalaria glabrata isolate BB02 unplaced genomic scaffold LGTN_random_Scaffold3856, whole genome shotgun sequence.